GCCUUUGCACUCGGACUUGGAACCAUACAAUCAGCUCUCCUGGGUCUCCAGCGUGUUAACUGCAGGUCUUGGGACUCUCAGCCUCCGUAAUCAUGAUUUUAAGCUAAUGGUGUCCCAGAAUACCAAAGAUUUCUAAAUCAUUCUGAAGAACAGUCGGCUUCCAGCAGCAGUGACAUUCAAGGAUGGAAAGAGAGGGGCAUGAUUCCUUUGUGGAGAAAAGUUUGAAAACUGGACGCAGAAUCACUACUAACAUUUUGGGGCCCAGCAGACAGUUUGAAUGGAAGUCAUGGUGGCAGAUGAAUGGAAGUCAUGGUGGCAGACAUCCUUAUGGUCUUACUGAUCACAGUGGAAUGGUUUCAAAAUUUCAAUAGGUA